CGAAAAAUAACAAUGCGGGACUCUUCCGAGUCUGCGUAAUUGGAAUGAGCACACUUUAAAUCCUUUAGCAACAACCAAUUAGAGGGCAAGUCUGGUGCCAGCAGCCGCGGUAAUUCCAGCUCUAAUAGCGUAUAUUAAAGUUGUUGCGGUUAAAAAGCUCGUAGUUCGAGGUCAGUUCCGGACUGGGGUGGGAGGUCACCGCCCGGUGCUUCCCCGUCAGGCUCCGAACAGCUUCCUUUUAUGGAAGCCAAGCCGGUUCUGCCGGGGUGCUCUUUACCGAGUGUCCCGCGCGGCCGGCCAGUUCACCUUGAAUAAAUGAGAGUGCUCAAAGCAGGCUACUCUGGAAUACAAUGCCCGAAUGUUAGCUGCAUGGAAUGAUGGAAGA
rnacentral:rRNA from 1 species